rnacentral:rRNA from 1 species
UACGUAGGGUGCAAGCGUUAAUCGGAAUUACUGGGCGUAAAGCGUGCGCAGGCGGUUUUGUAAGUCUGUCGUGAAAUCCCCGGGCUUAGCCUGGGAAUUGCGAUGGAGACUGCAAGGCUAGAAUCUGGCAGAGGGGGGUAGAAUUCCACGUGUAGCAGUGAAAUGCGUAGAGAUGUGGAGGAACACCGAUGGCGAAGGCAGCCCCCUGGGUCAAGAUUGACGCUCAUGCACGAAAGCGUGGGGAGCAAACAGG